AGCAGUGAGGAAUUUUCCGCAAUGGGCGAAAGCCUGACGGAGCAAUGCCGCGUGAAGGAUGAAGGCCUAUGGGUUGUAAACUUCUUUUCUCAGAGAAGAAUAUUGACGGUAUCUGAGGAAUAAGCAUCGGCUAACUCUGUGCCAGCAGCCGCGGUAAGACAGAGGAUGCAAGCGUUAUCCGGAAUGAUUGGGCGUAAAGCGUCUGUAGGUGGCUUCAAAAGUCUCCUGUCAAAGAUCAGGGCUUAACCCUGGGCCGGCAGGAGAAACUCUGAGGCUAGAGUUUGGUAGGGGCAGAGGGAAUUCCCGGUGGAGCGGUGAAAUGCGUAGAGAUCGGGAGGAACACCAGUGGCGAAGGCGGC
rnacentral:rRNA from 1 species